rnacentral:rRNA from 1 species
AACGAACGCUGGCGGCAGGCUUAACACAUGCAAGUCGAGCGCCCCGCAAGGGGAGCGGCAGACGGGUGAGUAACGCGUGGGAAUCUACCCAUCUCUACGGAAUAACGCAUGGAAACGUGUGCUAAUACCGUAUACGUCCUUCGGGAGAAAGAUUUAUCGGAGAUGGAUGAGCCCGCGUUGGAUUAGCUAGUUGGCGGGGUAAAGGCCUACCAAGGCGACGAUCCAUAGCUGGUCUGAGAGGAUGAUCAGCCACACUGGGACUGAGACACGGCCCAGACUCCUACGGGAGGCAGCAGUGGGGAAUAUUGGACAAUGGGCGCAAGCCUGAUCCAGCCAUGCCGCGUGGGUGAUGAAGGCCCUAGGGUUGUAAAGCUCUUUCACCGGUGAAGAUAAUGACGGUAACCGGAGAAGAAGCCCCGGCUAACUUCGUGCCAGCCGCCGCCGUAAGAC